UCAUUGGUUUUUUUAAAAACCAAGCUUAUUGACAUAACAAUAAACU
rfam:Macaca mulatta chromosome X, whole genome shotgun sequence.